rnacentral:rRNA from 1 species
UACAGAGGGGGCAAGCGUUGUUCGGAAUUACUGGGCGUAAAGGGCGCGUAGGCGGCCUGUUAAGUCGAACGUGAAAUCCCCGGGCUCAACCCGGGAACUGCGUCCGAUACUGGCAGGCUUGAAUUCGGGAGAGGGAUGCGGAAUUCCAGGUGUAGCGGUGAAAUGCGUAGGAUAUCUGGAGGAACACCGGUGGCGAAGGCGGCAUCCUGGACCGAGAUUGACGCUGAGGCGCGAAAGCCAGGGGAGCAAACGGG